GACGAACGCUGGCGGCGUGCUUAACACAUGCAAGUCGAACGGAAAGGCCCUGCUUUUGUGGGGUGCUCGAGUGGCGAACGGGUGAGUAACACGUGAGUAACCUGCCCUUGACUUUGGGAUAACUUCAGGAAACUGGGGCUAAUACCGGAUAGGAGCUCCUGCUGCAUGGUGGGGGUUGGAAAGUUUCGGCGGUUGGGGAUGGACUCGCGGCUUAUCAGCUUGUUGGUGGGGUAGUGGCUUACCAAGGCUUUGACGGGUAGCCGGCCUGAGAGGGUGACCGGCCACAUCGGGACUGAGAUACGGCCCAGACUCCUACGGGAGGCAGCAGUGGGGAAUAUUGCACAAUGGGCGGAAGCCUGAUGCAGCAACGCCGCGUGCGGGAUGACGGCCUUCGGGUUGUAAACCGCUUUCGCCUGUGACGAAGCGUGAGUGGCGGUAAUGGGUAAAGAAGCACCGGCUAACUACGUGC
rnacentral:rRNA from 1 species